GUGCAGCGCCGCGGUAAUACCGGCAGCCCGAGUGAUGACCGAUCUUAUUGGGCCUAAAGCGUCCGUAGCUGGCUGCGCAAGUCCGUCGGGAAAUCCACUCGCCCAACUAGUGGGCGUCCGACGGAAACUGCACAGCUUGGGACCGGAAGGCUCGAAGGGUACGUGCGGGGUAGGAGUGAAAUCCCAUAAUCCCGCACGGACCACCGAUGGCGAAGGCACUUCGAGAAAACGGAUCCGACAGUGAGGGACGAAAGCCAGGGUCUCCAACCGGAUUAGAAACCCGAGUAGUCC
rnacentral:rRNA from 1 species